AAAGAAGUGCAGUCCAGCUUUCUGACAUGGUGAUUAGUCAUCCAGUUAGUCACAUUCAUUCAACUUAUUAGCUCUUGCUCACCAAAAAUAUCAAUUACUAUCAACUGUUAGUUUGAGUUUACCAUUCGUAAUUCACCACUUCAUUGUGACUAAUCAUGUGUAUAUUUACAGGCUCCUGCACCGAAAACUUCUGCCUCAGCAUCAUCAUUAAAAAUCCCCUUGAGGGUAUGGAAGACACUAAUCAUUAUCUCUAGGACAAUCGAUCAUUUGCAAAAGACCCCAAUAUUAUUACAAUCCAAGCUGCAUCCCUAGGUGCAGAAGCCUCCGAAGCCUUACCUUUAAUCGAAGACUCAGGGGAAGCAGCAAGCGUUCACAGUGUUAACCAUAUGCGGGUAGGAGUCUCCUGCAAUUUGAAGGAGCAGGUUGUCUCGACCUUAUUUCUCACUCCAUCGAACAAUUCCAACCGGACAUGUUCUUCAUUUCAAGCCAGCUCCAGUGUGCCAUCAAUCCAGCCACAGCCCCACUGCCACCAACUCAAUCUACUGGUGCUUCUCCAUUAUCUGAAAACAGCGAUUUGGAGCUCAGCAUUUCUCCAUGUCAACCACGUAGCCUGACGAGAAGUGAGUUUGUGGUCUAAGUACAAUGGGAAUGGUGCGCAUGCAGAAUGCUAGAUUGAGACUAAGGUUGUGUUUGUGCCAAACCAAGGUCCCCAGCAAGAUCGGCCAAUGAAAAUUAACCCGGGCUCCUAAUUUGUUUUAUCUCCAUCUAGAACAUUUGCUCAACUUUCGCCUAACCAUUUAA